UACGUAGGGCGCAAGCGUUGUCCGGAAUUAUUGGGCGUAAAGAGCUCGUAGGCGGUUUGUCGCGUCUGUCGUGAAAGCUUGGGGCUUAACCCCAAGUCUGCGGUGGAUACGGGCAGGCUAGAGGCUGGUAGGGGCAAGCGGAAUUCCUGGUGUAGCGGUGAAAUGCGCAGAUAUCAGGAGGAACACCGGUGGCGAAGGCGGUUCUCUGGGCAUUACCUGACGCUGAGGAGCGAAAGUGUGGGGAGCGAACAGG
rnacentral:rRNA from 1 species